rnacentral:rRNA from 1 species
CCUACGGGAGGCAGCAGUGAGGAAUAUUGGUCAAUGGACGCAAGUCUGAACCAGCCAUGCCGCGUGCAGGAAGACGGCUCUAUGAGUUGUAAACUGCUUUUGUACGAGGGUAAACGCAGAUACGCGUAUCUGUCUGAAAGUAUCGUACGAAUAAGGAUCGGCUAACUCCGUGCCAGCAGCCGCGGUAAUACGGAGGAUUCAAGCGUUAUCCGGAUUUAUUGGGUUUAAAGGGUGCGUAGGCGGUCGGAUAAGUUAGAGGUGAAAUCCCGAGGCUCAACUUCGGAAUUGCCUCUGAUACUGUUCGGCGAGAGAGUAGUUGCGGUAGGCGGAAUGUAUGGUGUAGCGGUGAAAUGCUUAGAGAUCAUACAGAACACCGAGUGCGAAGGCAGCUUACCAAGCUACUUCUGACGUUGAGGCACGAAAGCGUGGGGAGCAAACAGGAUUAGAUACCCGGGUAGUC